rnacentral:misc_RNA from 1 species
AUUUAAAACAAGUGCCUUGAAGGAAGAACGACAUCACAAAGACAAUUUUAAUGAAAAUCACCCAGAGAAAAAUAUAAAUGGUGAGGAAACAAAACCUGAAGCCUACCGGCAAAUGUUUCGCAACUAAAAAGUUCAAAUUAUGAUAAUUGUGCAUAAUUGUGUGUGGAUAUAUAUUUGCUUAAUAAAAAUUUCAAUAUUUCAAAAUAAAAGAAAAAUAACAUUUAAAGUUUAAAAAGAAAAAGAUAUUAAGUAGCCAAAACCAUCAAAUGGACAUUAAUUUAAACAUAAAAGGAAGUAUGAACAAAAUUGCCAGUAAAUAAGUUAUGAAGUAAACCCAUAAUACAAAUAAAUACCUUGGUGCCCCCAGCUGUCAAUA